AGCUCCAAUAGCGUAUAUUAAAGUUGUUGCAGUUAAAAAGCUCGUAGUUGAACCUUGGGCCUGGCUGGCCGGUCCGCCUCACCGCGUGUACUGGUCCGGCCGGGCCUUUCCUUCUGGGGAACCUCAUGCCCUUCACUGGGCGUGUUGGGGAACCAGGACUUUUACUUUGAAAAAAUUAGAGUGUUCAAAGCAGGCCUUUGCUCGAAUACAUUAGCAUGGAAUAAUAGAAUAGGACGUGUGGUUCUAUUUUGUUGGUUUCUAGGACCGCCGUAAUGAUUAAUAGGGAUAGUCGGGGGCAUCAGUAUUCAAUCGUCAGAGGUGAAAUUCUUGGAUUGAUUGAAGACUAACUACUGCGAAAGCAUUUGCCAAGGCAUGUUUUCAUUAAUCAGUGAACGAA
rnacentral:rRNA from 1 species